UGGCCCCAAGGGCAUCUGGACACAGCCAUUCCUGGUGGGUUUGCUGCCGCCUCAACACCCAGACCUUCUCCAGGCAGCCCUGUGAAGACCCAGGAGAGGCAGCAGCCAUGAAGAUCCUGUUCCUGCUCUUCCCCCUGAUCCUCCUGUUGGCCCAGGGUGCUGCAGGCAGUGCAACAAGCUGCUGGAGACAACGGGGCUUCUGCACUAGGCGUAUUUGCCCCCGGAAUACAAGUUUUGUGGGAAGAUGUUCACCUGGUGUUGCGUGCUGCAAAAGACUUUGGGCUUGAAACCCUGAAAUUCCCAAGCAGGACUUGCCCCUUGCUUCUGGCUUCUGGACCCAUCUCCUGAUGUCCCCUCCCGUCCCUGCCUGUGCCGUGCCCAGCUGGGGUGACAGCAGCAGUGGCAGCUGCUCCUGCUGGGUGCUGCUGGGCUGGAGCCCUGUGGUGCCAGCCCCGCUGUCUUUGGGGCAGGGGCUGCUUUUCCCAGCUUGAAUAAAGACGAGCACUUUG